CUGUCCACAAAGCGGCAGUGUUGCUCUGCAGAAGCUCUCUGAGAGUGAGGCUCAGCCAUUGCACUCCGACUGUGCUGACCCCUGCCAAUUCCCCAAAUGUGGGAAUCUCGACUGCAUAAUUUCUGGUAGUGGGGGAUUGCGUUCGCGCUCUCCCCUG